rnacentral:siRNA from 1 species
UGCAGUUCGUUGAUUCUUGUGAAU